AGAGUUUGAUCCUGGCUCAGGACGAACGCUGGCGGCGUGCCUAACACAUGCAAGUCGAGCGAUGAAGUUCCUUCGGGAACGGAUUAGCGGCGGACGGGUGAGUAACACGUGGGUAACCUGCCUCAAAGAGGGGGAUAGCCUCCCGAAAGGGAGAUUAAUACCGCAUAACAUUAUUUUCUCGCAUGAGAAGAUAAUCAAAGGAGCAAUCCACUUUGAGAUGGACCCGCGGCGCAUUAGCUAGUUGGUGAGGUAACGGCUCACCAAGGCGACGAUGCGUAGCCGACCUGAGAGGGUGAUCGGCCACAUUGGAACUGAGACACGGUCCAGACUCCUACGGGAGGCAGCAGUGGGGAAUAUUGCGCAAUGGGGGAAACCCUGACGCAGCAACGCCGCGUGAGUGAUGAAGGUCUUCGGAUUGUAAAGCUCUGUCUUUGGGGACGAUAAUGACGGUACCCAAGGAGGAAGCCACGGCUAACUACGUGCCAGCAGCCGCGGUAAUACGUAGGUGGCAAGCGUUGUCCGGAUUUACUGGGCGUAAAGAGUAUGUAGGCGGAUAUUUAAGUCAGAUGUGAAAUUCCCGGGCUUAACCUGGGCGCUGCAUUUGAAACUGGGUAUCUAGAGUGCGGGAGAGGAAAGUGGAAUUCCUAGUGUAGCGGUGAAAUGCGUAGAGAUUAGGAAGAACACCAGUGGCGAAGGCGACUUUCUGGACCGUAACUGACGCUGAGAUACGAAAGCGUGGGGGAGCAAACAGGAUUAGAUACCCUGGUAGUCCACGCCGGUAAACGAUGAAUACUAGGUGUCGGGGGGU
rnacentral:rRNA from 1 species